rnacentral:lncRNA from 10 species
UGCCUUGGCCUCUCAAAGUGCUGGGAUUACAGGUGUGAGCCACCGCACCCGGCCCCGGCUACUUCUUUUGUUGGCUCCCGUAGGCACAUAAAAUAAACCCGUUUCUCCUGUUUAUCCGUCUUUUGUCCAUGUAAUUUGCAGCCCUCAGUUACUGAACCUAAGACGGUAAAGUAGUUGUUUCCUUCCCUACAAAGACAAUGGAGAGACUCACAGUCUUUGCAGCAAUCAGGCCAGAAUGGUCAGGAGUUGGUUGAUGACUGCCAGCUUUUCUAAUUUUUGUUCCUACUUCUAAUUUAGAGCCAACCAGAGAAAGUCAAAUAUGCGCCCCUAGCCAAUCCCCUAGGAUGUCCACUUCCACGAGCCUUCCCAGCUCCCUUUUGAAGACGGCCUCAUCGGGGCACCCCUGGAGCCUGUCGUCCACCACCAAGCUCCCCACUGCCUGCCCUGAGUCUCUGCCAAACGCAGCUGGUGGAAGCGGCCCCCUCGCUAGAGCCUGCUCAGAAUACACAGCCUGCGCUUGGUCUCAGGCGGCGUGUGCAUUAUAAUUCCCUCAAUUUUACUGAUGAGGAAAUCGAGGCAGGAGGAAGUUGAGUACUACAGAGCUGUCCUGUGGAGCCGGGCCGUCUGGCACUGGAGACAGGCUUCUAUCCACUCUGCCUGCGGUUCGCAAAGUGGGGUCCCCAGCCAGCGGCACCAGCAUCACCUGGAACUUGUGACAAAUGCACAUUCCAGGGCCCUUCUCCAGACCCACGGAAUCUAGGGCAAGGCUCAGCCAUCUGUGCCUUAGGGAGCUCUCCUGGAGAUUCUCACACUGGUCCAGGGGGUUCUUCAGUUAACUGACACCUUUGUUGAGCACCUACUUACCACAUAAGCCAUUGACGAGAUUGUGCUGGAAACAUGCAACUAUGCUAAAAACAAAGACUGUCACCUGCCCUUUCAGAGCUACGCAGAGCAGCCUGAGACUCACAGCGAAACAGCUUUUGUCUCUGGGCAGUUGCAGAGCAGGUUUGUUUGUUUGUUUGUUUUGUUUUAGGCUUUUUGCCAAAUACCAGAGGCCAGAACUAUGGAGAGGCUGCUGAAUCCAGGGCCAGGAGGGCUCCAAGGAGUUUGCAAACCUAGAUCUCCGGGAGGCCCUGGUUAAAGGAGGCUAAAUCCGUUGGGACAGACAUGGGUGUUUCAGGUUGGGAUCUCAUGGCUGAGUGUGCAAGCUGCCAACACUUCCGUGUAUGCUUUAUUCCCGUGGUUUUUGUUUGUUUUGUUUUUUUUUUUCCAGAUUUAAAGACUAAUAGGAGAUGAGCAAUGGCAGCUUUGGGGACCUUUUGUCUUUGCUUUGGCAUUUUGGCCAUUGGCUGAUUUUAAAAACAAAAUAGAACUAUCUGGUGGCCCCAAGCCCCAAUGCAUAAGCUCAAGGUGGAGUCCCCAGGGCUGUUUUUCCCGAUGGAGAGUUUGGUGCCCAUUCUGUGAUCACAGGGGAAGCUGCUGGGCCGUUUUCACCUCCUCCUCCCACAUACACAGGCAUGCUUGCGGUAGACUCACAAGAAGUUACAGAACAUCAGCUGCCCGCAAAAAGCAUCUUUUGUGAAAGACAGGGAGCAAGGAUAUAUUAAAAACAAGCAAGCAGCUGAGGUGGGUGGAUCAUGAGGUCAGGAGAUCGAGACCAUCCUGGCUAACACAGUGAAACCCCAUCUCUACUAAAAAUACAAAAAAUUAGCUGGGCAUAGUUGCACGUACCUGUAGUCCCAGCUACUUGGGAGGCUGAGGCAGGAGAAUCGCUUGAACCCAGGAGGCAGAGGUUGCAGUAAGCCAAGAUCACACCACUGCACUCCAGCCUGGGUGACAGAGUGAGACUCCAUCUCAAAAAAACAAAAAAACAAGCAGGUGCAGGUGCUCAUGCCUGUAGUCCCAGCUACUUGGGAGGCUGAGGUGGAGGGAUCGCUUGAAUCCAGGAGUUAGACCAGCCUGGGCAACAUAGCAAGACCCUGUCUUAAAAAAAAAAAAAACCCGAAAUUGAAAAACACAAAACAAGCAAAUAGACCUGAAACACUCCAGCUACCCCUUCUGUAAGGAAAGCCAACAAGAGUUAGUCCCAACCUCAUCCCACUCCCCAGACCCCUUCCCAAACCCCUUCCCAGACCCCACUGCCCACUUUCCGUGGGGGGGAAAGGGGAAUCAUUAGGGCAUUCCUUACAUCCCGGCUGUCUGGCAAACUUAAAUGGGUUACACCUGGAGCCACUGGCCCCACUUAGUAACCCGAGGAUACUCGUGGA